GCUGUGGGAAUUGAAGCAGCUUUCCAGAGCAAACUACACAAGGACGUGAGCCAGAGAGAUGUUGCAGAAAGAAAACAUGCUUCAACAGAAGAGAUUAAGGUGCAAGUCAGAGUGGCAUUGAAGGCUUCAGAAGGGCAACACAUUGCCUGCAUUUAAACAUGAGCCAUAGCCUAAUUUCUAAAGCUGCUCUAUAAACUCCGCUUGAGAGGCAGCACGAGCCAAAGAAGGAAGAAAACACGUCUGGGAAUGGCAGUGAAUGAAGGUCUACAGGAGAGAAUUCAAGAUGCUGUAAGUUCUCAAAGUUCUUCCUCAGCUCACAGAAAUGAAAAAAAAGCAGCCGUAGUGAUUUCUUUUGGCAGUAUCUUCUGCCACAAACAGCCAUUUUCGUGCCCUCCAUAACGAGGAGGAGUUCAGAAAGGCUCUGAAUUGUCUGGGAAACGAAAAAAUUCCACAACUAGGAGAAUGAAAUGCAAACUGAAGGCAUUUCAGACACAAUGUGCUUGAUGAGUGGUUGUAUAGAUGGAGAAAGCAUUGUUUCAUCAAGAGUUUUCAACUCAAAUCAUUGCCACCAUAUGAAAAAAUACCUUCCUCUAUAUUUUUUAACCCUUCUUCUACUAGUAGGGAAAAGAAAAAUCUAACAGAUGGGCCAGAUUUUUUUAAUCGAACUGGUCUUUUCCUUACUUUGAGGUAUUCGUUCCCAUUUUACUUCAAUACAUUUGUGUCGAAUACAUUUAUUUAUCCUGGUUUAUACUUCCCAGAAAACAAGUCGGGGUUUCUUCUGUGGUCAGACCAAUGCUAUGAUUCAUGGAAUUGUGAUCGUCAGUCUGCACAGGAAGUGGAGGUCAGCUGGAGAGCAACGCUCAUACAGAACUGAAGCUGAACCUUCCAACCUACCAAAUCCGUGAGGUGCUGGAGCAGAAAGGGAACAUAGGUUAAUUCUGGGCUGACCUAGAACAAAGUACUCCAACUCUGCACAACAUACUAGUCCAAGAUUUCAACCAUCACCAUAAACCAAUCUGAAUUAAUGCUUUCCUUCACUUUCCAGUCCAUCAAAUAGAAUCUAAGGCUUUUGGGCCUCUCUGGACAUUUUUAGGUUCAAAAUAAACUGAGUUCUCCAAUAUACAGAAUCCACUUCUUCAUGGGCUCCACUAAGGGCAGCUCACCUCUCCCUGCUUGGGAGCAGGAUGACAGACUCAGCAUGCAGCUGGGGCUGCUUUCCAGAGCAGCUGAACACAGUGGUGUCCACAAUUCAGGCAAAUAAUGAGCCCUUCUUGGUAUGGAUCCUUCAGGAAAGCAUGCCUCCAAUCCCUACAGAGACAUCACACGAGGAAUUCUAGAAAUAUGGCCUUUAAAAGAAGGAAUAGAUCAAAUUUUAAGCAAUUAUGAAUAAAAGCACAGUACAGAAAGCUGUAACUGUAAACCAGUUACAUCAGCAAAGCAGCAUUCCCACUGCUGAGAGAAGGGGAGAUUUCUACUGAGGCUAAAACAAGUUCUUUGAGACAGCAGCUGAGAAAGAGACAGUUCUGCCAGGAGUCACAGUUCUUCCAUCCUCAGCACUGGUGAUGAACCACUCCAGUAACUGGGUGGCAUGCCCCUAAUUCCUCUGGGAAAAGACUCUGGGAAAGGAUGUACAAUAAUUGUGGAGGGGAAGCAGACCAAAGUACAGAGCACUAAUUAAGUUGACUAUCUCAAUAUGACUACCCAGAAAAAAAAUGGAAUUUCUGUGUCUCAAGUUUCAUAUCAGUUGAAUUUCGAGGAUCAAUAGGAUUGGUCUUAUGGGGAUGUUCCUUCCCUUCAUUUGCUUUAUUUCCAACAUGAAGUAAGCUUAGAAGAUUCCUGCCUGGAACGACAAUAAAAAGUUUAUAAUAUUCAGUGACCUGGUUAGGGAAAUAAAGUAAUUUAUUGCUGGGGUAAUCAAAGAAGCAUGAUAGAAGAUUUCCUUAUCAACCAAGAAACUGAGACAGGUGGAUAACGAUACGUCCCAACUGUUGCUACCUACUGCACAUCUUCAAGGUUCUCUCUAGGUAGCAGAUGGCCAGUCAGAAUAUCUCAAUUUCAGUCCUGUGAUAAAUUACCUUUUCAGUAGAGAAAGCAUCUCUGUCUCUCCCCAUGAACAAUAUCAAAGAGUUUAUUUCAUUAUGUAAGAGCAUAAUUAGUGCCAGACAUUUAGUACUAUUAUUACUACCAAGUUGUCUUUCCUCUUUGUAGUGUGAGAGCUGUAGAGCAGACUUCCCUGAUCUUUUCAAACAGUUUCUGCCUGCAUCCAAACAAAAGGAAACAUGUCAUAGCUAGUUUGUGAUGAGAAACCAGUACUUUGGCUCCAGAUGCACACAGAGAACAAUUGGUUUAAAAUGAAAGACAAGCUAAAUAUCAAUAAACCUCAUAGUCUUCUUCAGAGCAGCCUACUCACAGAAAACAGCUUAUAGGCAAGCACAAUGAAUCACGUUGAUACUGGAAAUACACACGUUCCCUAGAAAGCUUCUGCUAAAAGCUUAUCACAUUGCACCAGAUGGUUGGCUAGCUGACAAGAGAUAGCUCAUCUCAAAAAAAAAAAAACAACCCAAGAAAUCUAUCAAAACACAACAACAACAAAACCCCAAUCCCUAACAAUAUAUAAUAAGGGGAGUCAAGGAUGUAAUAGCCUUUAGUGAGCCAGUGUGCGCAUCUAAUGCACUAGUCAAGCUUGUUGAAGUACAAAAGCCCUUCAUGUCUGAAAGAAAAAGCACCUACCAGACCAAGUGCUCCUGGGAACAGCCCAAGUUAUGAGUCUAAUGGCCAUACAUACAUGGUCUUACUGCUUGCAUGAUGCUCCCCAGUGAAUACGCUCAGCUAAGAACAAACUGGGAACUCAGGCCAGGUGGUUUCCUUGCCACCACACACAGUGGUGCUACCUACCUCUGCCUAAGCAGCUACAUACAAAGAGGAACAGUGUCUAUAAUUGCUAGGAUAGUAGAAAAGUCAGGCAGUGGUUCUUAAGCCUAAAGCAAAAUAAAAGCCAAAUGGAAGUAUACUCCACAAAACUUUGCUCCUCGGUUAUCCCUUCCUCCUAAGCAGAUGUCCUAUCCUGAAAAAUACUGUGAAAGAAAACUGCUGAAAUAUUUCUACUGUUGAAGUUUUCUCUGCUAGAAAAACAGUUUAUCUUUUCUCGUGGUUGUAGCCUACCUAAGAUGUUUAAACAUAGGAGGAAAAAAGAAAGAAAGAGAGAAAGAAAAGAAUAAAAAGGGUCUUUAAACUCUAGGAAUGUUUUUUUCCUGUAGUGAACUCGGAGUGACAGAGGUUUAUAACAAAAGUUGACUGUGUAAUAUUUUCCAUUGCUUACGGUUCCCUUCUGAACUUCCAUUUUGUGGGAAUACACUUGGAUCAUUGCUGACCUGUCUCUGGAAAAGGCUCACUGUGUAUUUUGGCUUGGCUUCCUUCCAUUUCUACUCCUCUAAGUCUGUUCCCCAUUUCAACAUCUCUCAUUGCCACAUUCCCAAACAUGUUACACAACCCCUAAGAAGCAAUUUAUAGGAAUAUUAGUAAUUCAGCUGUAACCAAACAAGCACUUUUCCCUUCUAACAGAUCAUUCUCUCCUGGGAAUCAUAGCUAUGUGGCUGUUUGCUCACUUGUUUACAGCAUUUCUCUGGAUGUGAUCAUUAGACAGGCAAACAACUUAAAGCAGAAUAAAUCCAUGAAAGCCAGUGCUUGCAGCAGCUUUUAAAGCAAAACCUGGCUGGAAAUAUUUUGUGAAGGCCUUUCCAAAAGUGCCUGGAAGAGUCUUGUAUGUGAAUGUGUAACCUCCCUAUAGCCAACCAUGUUGUGCCAAAUGCGCAUACACAGAUCCUGCUUUGAUGUUCACAGCCUGAGGCAGCACUGUCCCAAAUGAGAAUCUGUGAGCACCUUGGGGAUGUAACCCACCACAGUGCACCAGGUUUUUCUGUAAUAGCAAUAGAUACAAAGAUAUAAAUGAGACUGCACAACUUACCCAAGAUUGGAGUUACUUACAUACUGUGUGUCACUCAAAGUCAGUCUCACCAAACAUAAGAUUAACAGCUGGUGUCUGAUCUUGCAAACCUUAUCUCCUUGAACUCUGGCUCCCAUGAAAUAUUCCUAGAAGCUAUUAGUUUGACAGGUCAAAGGCCCCAGCUUUCCAUAUGUUGCCAGAAAAUAACAUCAAGUUCAACAUCAAGUUCCCCAGUACAGGAAGGACAUGGAGCUCUUAGAGCAGGUCCAGAGGAGGGCCACUGAGAUGAUCAGAGGGCUGGAGCACCUCUCCUAUGAGGAAAGGUUGAGGGAACUGGGCUUAUUUAGUUUGGAGAAGAGAAGGCUCUGGGGAGACCUCAUUGUGGCCUUCCAGUACUUGAAGGGAGUGUAUAAACAGGAAGGGGAGCAGCUCGUUUACAAGGGUGGAUAGUGAUAGGACAAGGGGGAAUGGUUUUAAACUGGGACAGGGGAGGUUUAGGUUGGAUAUUAGGAAGAAGUUUUCCACACAGAGGGUGGUGACGCACUGGAACAGGUUGCCCAAGGAGAUUGUGGAUGCCCCAUCCCUGGAGGCAUUCAAGGCCAGGCUGGAUGUGGCUCUGGGCAGCCUGGUCUGGUAGUUGGUGACCCUGCACAUAGCAGGAGGGUUGAAACUAGAUGAUCUUUGGGGUCCUUUUCAACCCAGGCCAUUCUACGAUUCUGUGAUAAACUUGUUGAGAAAAAGAGAACCCCUGCUUUGAGAGCUUAAAACCCAAGACAGAGUCACAUCUGCUUAUCUACAGAACAAUAGCUUCUGAUUCAUGGAGUAGAUUGGGCUGACCUUCUUAUGUCCUUUUUACCCUGUUUCAAACAUUGCCAGAUAUGCAGAUGAGCGUGCCAGGUACAGUAUCUACCUGCCACAGUUUAUGGCCUGACACAUUCACUUGAAUGAAAAUGACUGACUUCAAAUUUAUGUACUCAUUACAAGCUGAAGCUCAUGGUCACAUUUAUUUCUGCUUGGCUGUACCUCCAGCAGUGGUAAAGGUCUUUGGAAAAAAGGUUUGUGGCACAAACUAGUAGCAGUAAUUGCUCAGGCCAUCUCCAUGAGUUCUAUUUUUAAGGCAACCCAAAGGCAGCCCUGCAGCUAUACUGUGCUCUGUCAUGGCCACAUUCACUCUCCUCUGUGCAGUUGGUAUAACUUAACACAGGUUAACAAAUUAGGCAUAGCGUCACACAGUUGAGUGGAAAAUUGUGAAAAAGCCACUCAGCCUCUCACAGUGGAGAAAAAAAAAACAUCUAGAGACUCCUGGAUCUGGGCCAGAGAACACAAGCAAAGCAGAGAGCUGCUGAUGCAUGAUGGCUUCCUGACACCCACCUGAAGGUAAAUUAGGUUUCCCAAAAGCAACUCACACAACCUUGCCUGAGAGCACACAAGGAGAUGGCCUCACAGACAUGAAAAGACAGUUCUGCAUGUAAGACUAGACAAGCAGUCCAAUGCUCUCUACCCUAGCUUUGGUGAUAAGCAGAUUUUAAGUUUAUCUGCCCCAAAGCCCUGCAACCUGCCAAAUAAUCACAUCUUACAUCAUCAGAGAGAGGUCUUCAUCAGAGUUAGUCAGAUGUAGGUGAAAAUAAGUAUCUCAGUCACUGGUGCCAUACAGUUACCAGUAAUAUCCUUAGCAAGUGAACACAGAGUAACACACAUACCUGCAC
ensembl:lncRNA